AACAAUUGGGCCACCGUAUUGGGUCAGAUUAGGUUUGGGCUUAAUUGGGUUUGGGUUAGGGGUAUCCGGGCUAGCUGAUUUGGGUUUGGUAUUGGGCUGUAUGUAAUGUAUUUUGGGUUAGAUUUUUAUUGGGCUAAUAUUUCUGUAUUUUUGGACUUUUGGACUUAUUUUUAAUUUUUUUUGUAAGGGCCGGGAAAAUU
rnacentral:lncRNA from 1 species